rnacentral:rRNA from 1 species
CAAAUUUUAUAUUUUUUUACUAAAAACAAAAAAAAUUAUUAAAAAAAAAGUUGGGUUUUUCGCGCGCGGCCCGGGGCGUAAGCCCCCCGGCGGCCAGUUAAGGCGGGCCCGCCGAAGCAACAAGGUAAAAAUAAACCACGGUGGGAGGUUGGACCCAGAGGGCCCUCACUCGGUAAUUCCGUAGGUGAACCUGCGGAAGGAUCAUUA